GACGAACGCUGGCGGCGUGCUUAACACAUGCAAGUCGAACGGAAAGGCCCUGCUUUUGUGGGGUGCUCGAGUGGCGAACGGGUGAGUAACACGUGAGUAACCUGCCCUGGACUUUGGGAUAACUUCAGGAAACUGGGGCUAAUACCGGAUAGGAGCUCCUGCUGCAUGGUGGGGGUGGGAAAGUUUCGGCGGUUGGGGAUGGACUCGCGGCUUAUCAGCUUGUUGGUGGGGUAGUGGCUUACCAAGGCUUUGACGGGUAGCCGGCCUGAGAGGGUGACCGGCCACAUUGGGACUGAGAUACGGCCCAGACUCCUACGGGAGGCAGCAGUGGGGAAUAUUGCACAAUGGGCGGAAGCCUGAUGCAGCAACGCCGCGUGCGGGAUGACGGCCUUCGGGUUGUAAACCGCUUUCGCCUGUGACGAAGCGUGAGUGACGGUAAUGGGUAAAGAAGCACCGGCUAACUACGUG
rnacentral:rRNA from 1 species